rnacentral:rRNA from 1 species
UCGAGAAUUUUUCACAAUGGGCGAAAGCCUGAUGGAGCGACGCCGCGUGGGGGAUGAAGGGCUUCGGCUCGUAAACCCCUGUCAUUCGCGAUUAAUGGUGCUUAGGCACUUUGACAGUAGCGAAAGAGGAAGAGACGGCUAACUCUGUGCCAGCAGCCGCGGUAAUACAGAGGUCUCAAGCGUUGUUCAGAAUUACUGGGCGUAAAGGGCGUGUAGGCGGUGCCUAAAGAAUAUAGUUAAAUCUUCAAGCUUAACUUGAAAUCGCUAUGUUUACUGAGGUGCUAGAGUAACGAAGAGGUGACUGGAAUUUUCAGCGUAGCAGUGAAAUGCGUAGAUGCUGAAAGGAACAUCAAUGGCGAAGGCAAGUCUCUGGUCGUUUACUGACGCUGAGGCGCGAAAGCUAGGGGAGCAAACGGG